rnacentral:rRNA from 1 species
UACAGAGGGUGCGAGCGUUGUUCGGAAUUACUGGGCGUAAAGCGCGCGCAGGCGGCUUUCUAAGUCCGUCGGUGAAAGACCGGGGCUCAACCCCGUGUCAGCCAUGGAUACUGGGAGGCUGGAGACAGGUAGAGGCAAGCGGAAUUCCGGGUGUAGCGGUGGAAUGCGCAGAUAUCAGGAGGAACACCGGUGGCGAAGGCGGUUCUCUGGGCAUGUCCUGACGCUGAGGAGCGAAAGUGUGGGGAGCGAACAGG